rnacentral:rRNA from 1 species
AUUGAACGCUGGCGGCAGGCCUAACACAUGCAAGUCGAGCGAGCGGCGGACGGGUGAGUAAUGUCUGGGAAACUGCCUGAUGGAGGGGGAUAACUACUGGAAACGGUAGCUAAUACCGCAUACCAUCAGAUGAACCCAGAUGGGAUUAGCUAGUAGGUAGGGUAACGGCUUACCUAGGCGACGAUCCCUAGCCGGUCUGAGAGGAUGAUCAGCCACACGGGAACUGAGACACGGCCCAGACUCCUACGGGAGGCAGCAGUGGGGAAUAUUGCACAAUGGGCGCAAGCCUGAUGCAGCCAUGCCGCGUGUGUGAAGAAGGCCUUCGGGUUGUAAAGCACUUUCAGUCGGGAGGCGUUACCGACAGAAGAAGCACCGGCUAACUCCGUGCCAGCAGCCGCGGUAAUAC